rnacentral:misc_RNA from 1 species
AACUGCGAUAAGUAGUGUGAAUUGCAGAAUUCAGUGAAUCAUCAAACUCUUGAACGCACAUGGCGCCCUGUGGCAACGCAGGGCACGCCUGUUUGAGCCUCGGUAUUCAACCUCGUACCUACCACCUAGUGUGGCGUACGGAUCAUGGGGAUUGUGCUUCUUUGCCACAUUCCCUCAAAUGCAGCUGCUUGGCGCAGCGGGAUACGGACUAGAGCCGUUCCGGUCACCCAGUUUAUGAUGGCAUAACGCCUCUCUCUACUGGCCCGGGCCGUUACUCUUUCCCUCCCUCUUCACUACCAGGCACGAAGUGUCACCUCUAGCGAGGCAACACCCCUUCAAACUUCGAGCUCAAAUCAGGCGAGACUACCCGCUGAAGUUAAGC